UCGUGAGGUAUUGGAGUAUAAUCACUUUUCAUACAAGUAAUGUAAUAGUGACUCUUCUUCUCAGACUGCCUCUCUCUUGUUAGUGAUGUUCGAGAUUCUUCUAUCUCCUCUUGGAAGCUUACUAAUCUGUUUUUGUAUUUAUUUUCUUGUCUGGAUUUUGAUGCUAAGUGCUGUGUGUUUUGGAUUUCUCGUAGCAAAAAUAUUGUUGCUCACAAUAUGGUUGCUUGGGCUGCGUCCCAUAACAUCGUUGGGUCUCUUUGUGCAGGGGAUGUAGCACCCCUUGUCGCUACUCAUGAUUAAUCUGUCUGAUUUUUUUUUUCUAGUUUUUAUAAAAAUUUUGGUUUCAGCAAAAAAAAAUAUAAUAGUGAUUACACUGAAAAAUGUCAUUACUAGAGGUUAAAGCAGGGGCAGACCCACAUUGUAGCGAGAAAAAAAUGUAUAUGUAUUUUAAUUAGUUACAACAUAUAUUUGUAUUAAAAGAUGAUAUUUAUAGACACAAUAGUAACCUUGGUGUAAUAAUUAAGGUAGUUGGUAAAUAGGUUAGAGGGUAAAAGUUUAAACCCCACUAACUACACUUUAUAUAUUUUUUUUAAAUUUAUUUACGCCCCCCCCCCCCCCCCUCACUUUAAAUUCUGGGUCCUGGGUUAAAGGCAAAUAUUAGAAUUGUAAUCAUGAUUCCAUUACAAUGUUGAUUACAAUAAACUAAAUAUGCCAUUAGAUUGGGGUGUUUUCGAACAAACUAACUACACUUUAUAUUUUCUUUUUAAAUUUAUUUACCCCCGUUCACUUUAAAUUCUGGGUCCGUCACUGAGUUAAAGGCAAAUAUUAGAAUUGUAAUCAUGAUUCCAUUACAAUGUUGAUUACAAUAAACUAAACAUGCCAUUAUAUUGGGGUGUUUCUGAACAAAUAAUAUUGUGACACAUCGUUUAAUAAAUGUUAAUUUGUGCCAUCCGCAAAACAGAGGAUUACGAUGUGCUUUUUUUUUCUUAUUUUUUUAUUGAAUAAAGGGAACAGUCUCCCAUUUAAGGAAGGAAAAGCUUUAGGGCUUUUCUUCUUGUGAAGCCCAAUCCAAUAGGAGUUACCAUUUGAGAUUGAAUAUCUCUCGAGUGUUUGUUACUGUAGGUAACGUCGGAGAUCCGCAUCGUGGCAUGUCUUCCAGGAUGAGAGGUCUCGUAGGUGGGCCUUUAGAUGAGUCCACCGGUCAAGUGAGGGCCAAGGUGGUCAGGACCUCUCGCGGUGCAGAUGCUAGUGGACCAUCACUGCCUCCCCCUCCACUAGGGGCCAGCACCUACUGGGUCGCCUAUAGUUCAGUCUGUCGACCAAGGUACUAGGAGGGGCGGUAGAGGAGAGGGGUCAGUUGCUAGUAGGAAGGCUUCUGAGUCAGCCACUCGGCGUAUAGACAUGACUAUUCCUUUCUUGGAUGAGGUAUUGCAGGAGUUGGGUGAAAACAUGUGCCUUGUUUGAUCAAGAGUAAAGGCAUAUGCGAGGCAUUCAAAAGUUUUGAGGUGAUGAUACACAAUUUUUUACUGCAAGCGUACAGUGUUGUUAUAGCAAAGUUUUAAAACUAAAAAGGUUGUCGAACCCACAAGGAUUGAUUAUUAAAUUUUACUAAAUAUUAUAGUUUAA